rnacentral:misc_RNA from 1 species
CCACACCCACUUACACGCAUAGAAGCGGCUCACACGUUGGACUCACGAAAUUCGAGGGCGGCGCAUCAACACGUGCCACAGAUGCGUAGUCAUAUCCCUGUUUUACUUCACCCCUUUCGCUUUUAAUCUUUUUCAUUUUUGAAGCUUGCCUUCGAGAAGAUGGUCUCCUCUGAGGUGCUCGGUGAGUACGUGAGGGAGUACGCGGCGUCGCGGUUGCGGGACCCCGUCAUGGCCAGCUGGGUGGGUGGCUCCCUCGCCUUUCUCGCGACCAUGUACGCUACGUCAAGCGGACGGCAGCUCGCCAAGGCAAUGCCACCGCCACCGUUGCGAGGCAUUCAGGGCAGUAUCGUGCGCGGCACUGCCGCGUCUGAGGUGCGAAAGGGGGGCGGCCUCACACUCGUGCCGCAAUCGACGCCUCUGUCGCCGUCCUCUCCGGUGUCGCGCGCGACUACGUCCUCCGUUUUCAUCUCUGCCUCCGCGGCGACCGCAGAGGCUUACAGCCAAGUCUUCAACCAGGAGGUGUCUGUGUUCAAUCGCUUUAUGCAGCUGCUGCGUGUGGCGAUCCCCAACUGCCAUGGGCGGGAGGCGCGGAGCAUCUACAUUCUCUUUGUGCUGAUGAUUGUGCGUGCCUACGUGUCGGUGCGCCUUGUGAAUGUCAGCGGGUUGGUCAGCCGCACGGCAAUCGAGGGCAACCUGCGACACGCCAUCCGUGCACUGGCGUUAUUUGCCGUCUCGUGUGUGCCGGCCACUCUGCUGAACGUGACGCUCGACUACUACUCGGAGCUGCUGGGACUGCACUGCCGCGACAACCUCGCCGCCUACUUCUCCGACCGUUACCUGAAGCGGCGCGUCUUCUUCCAGAUGGCCGGUCUGCACGAGGUGGACCACGUGGACCAGCGCAUUACCGAGGACGUGCGUAACUGGGCGCGUGUGUCGGCUUCUCUCUUCACCAGCAUUCCGCGUCCGCUGAUCGAGGCCAUCACCUUCUCCUUCACAUUGGCGCGGCAGACGGGGUGGAGGGGGACGCUGUUGACGUGGUCCUACUACCUGACCUUUGCUGUGUGGAUAUGCUGCUGCGCCCCCAACCUUGACUGGAUGGUGCAGCAGCGCACGGAGAAGGAGGGUGCGGUGCGGAGAGCACACCAGAGAUUGCUGGCCUACGCGGAGGAGAUCACGCUCACGAAGGGGUUUCAGUUCCACGAGAAAGUGCUGCAGCGCCUCUUCAAGGCAGUUACGGACCAGUCGCGCUACGCCGCCUACGUGCGGUCGCGCUUCGACUUCACUGAGACCUUGCACAACAAGUACGGAUCAGUGUUGCUGGGCUACGUUGUGUGUGCCAUGGCUACCAUGCAUCAGAAGAACCAGACGACAACCGCCGAGACGGCAACCGCAGCGCUGACGUGUGCCUCGUACACCUUCAAGACACUCGCCACCGCGAUUGGGAAGUCUCUGUGGAACGUCAAGCUGGUGUUCGUCGUUGGCGGCUACACACGCCGACUGGCGCAGUUGCUUGCCGCGCUAGACCGCGCAGACGUGCUGGUAGAGAUGCAGACGAGUUGCACCGCACAGUCCCCAAUUGUGAGCCGCGCCUCUGGUGCCUUUCCGGUGCGCGGCAAUGACGGGAAGGCCAUGUCCAACUACGAGGACUCUUUCGGCCGCAUCGUGCGCAGCGACCACAUUGAGUUCGUCGACGUUCCGCUUGUGCUGCCCACCGGUGAGUGCCUCUGCAGCUCCAUGUCAUUUUACGUCAAGCCAGGAAUGAACCUGCUCAUUCUUGGUCGCAAUGGGUGCGGCAAGUCCUCCACGUUUCGCCUUCUGGGUGAGCUGUGGCCACUGCGGGGUGGCCGUAUCGAGAAGCCGGAGGCGGAGCAGCUGUACUACGUUCCGCAGCGGCCGUACAUGUACGAUGGCACGCUCCUCGAGCAGGUCAUCUAUCCCCUCAAGAAGAAGGACCUCACUGUCGGCGAGGCCGAGCUGUACGGCUACCUGCAGAUGGCGGGGCUGGACUACGUUUUCAGCAAGUUGAACAUGUCGUGGGAGACGCGGCUGCCGUGGAGCGACGACUCCCUCUCGCUUGGCGAGCAGCAGCGUCUUGCCAUGGCCCGCCUCUUCUUUCACCGUCCGCGUUUUGCCAUUCUCGACGAGUGCAGCAGUCUUGUCGACCUCGACGUGGAACGGCAGAUGUACGACCGCUGCGUCGAGCUCGGCAUCACUGUCAUCACGAUUGCGCACCGCCGCAGCGUGUGGCAGUACCACAACUGGAUUCUCUACUUUGAUGGCAGCGGUGGCUACAUGUUCUCACCCCUGCAGUACGAGACGGGUGCCUCGGCGUUGGUGCUGACGUGCGUGCGAUCCGCCUCGGAUGCGUCGCUGAUCGGCACGGAGGUGCGCAUUCCUAUCACGGACCGCCUAUGCAGCGAGGAUGAGACGGUGACGGCAAAGAAGGAGCCGCCGCCGAAGCUCAUUCAAACAGCACAGAAGGCAGAGGUACCGAAGUCACCGAGGGCAGAGACGGUCACAGAGAAGGUAGAGAGAGAAGAGAGGGCAAAGGCAAACGGAGACGGCGAUGGUGUGCAUGGGUCACACAGGCAGUCGCGACACAGGCGCUCGCGCAAACACCGCGCCUCAGACGGCAACAAGGCAGUUGGUUUCGAGACCCAAGCGGAGACUAGCGGAGGAGAAUAGUUAAACUUUCGGGUUUCUUGUUUCGUGAGCACCGUGUUUUGAUGAGGAAGCAAUGCGCAUAAUGUUGAGGAGGUGCGGAGAGCAGCUGACUAAAAGGAUGUCUGAGGAGAGGAACGGCGGACAGAGGGGAGCAUUACAACACCAUUUUUUUUUUCGUACGUCGUGUGGGUACCGCCAGCUACGCCAAAGUCGCGAAGAAGCCCUCCUGCCGCUCCUUCUACUCUCGAUCGGUAACGGUUCCUUCAUAGAGGCCUUCCAUUCUUCCCUUCCUCUACCUUAGGAGGCGGCGCCUCCGUUUCAGCACUCGUGUGUGCGUGUUUGUAUAUGUGAGGGGGGGGGGUGCGUAUGUGCGGUGCAAGAGGGCGCUGCUACCUUUGGGCUCUGCUUCAUGCCUGCCUCUCUCCCUGUGUUGUGCGCUCUUUUCCUUUUGCGCCCCCAUGCUUUUCCCUCUCUCUCGCUGUCAUGUUGUGGGUCCCCGAACGUGGGUGCUCGUUCCUUGGGUUUUGUACAUGUGAAUCUCUUUUUUUCUCCAACCUCUUCCUCCUCCUCGUUCCCCCCUUUGUCAACGAGCGAGGGCGUUUGCGUCUACGUGUGCACGCCUUUGCCCACGUGCGACCAUGCGCACAGCGCUAGAGAGUGCUCGCGUGCACACGUCCUUCCGUAGAGCGUUCCGCGGAGGGUGCUGAAUUCGUUUGAUUUGUCGUCCCCUGAUUCC